AGACCCGAAACCCGGUGAUCUAGCCAUGGGCAGGUUGAAGGUUGGGUAACACUAACUGGAGGACCGAACCGACUAAUGUUGAAAAAUUAGCGGAUGACCUGUGGCUGGGGGUGAAAGGCCAAUCAAACCGGGAGAUAGCUGGUUCUCCCCGAAAGCUAUUUAGGUAGCGCCUCGUGAAUUCAUCUCCGGGGGUAGAGCACUGUUUCGGCUAGGGGGCCAUCCCGGCUUACCAACCCGAUGCAAACUGCGAAUACCGGAGAAUGUUAUCACGGGAGACACAC
rnacentral:rRNA from 1 species